GCAGGGCAAAGCCGGAGGAAACUCUGGUGGAGGUCCGUAGUGGUCCUGAUGUGCUCAUCAGUCAUCCGAC
rnacentral:ncRNA from 1 species